rnacentral:rRNA from 1 species
UACGAAGGGGGCGAGCGUUGUUCGGAAUUACUGGGCGUAAAGGGCGCGUAGGCGGUGUGUCAAGUCAGGCGUGAAAGCCCCGGGCUCAACCUGGGAACCGCGCUUGAGACUGGCACGCUAGAGUUCGGGAGAGGAUGGUGGAAUUCCCAGUGUAGAGGUGAAAUUCGUAGAUAUUGGGAAGAACACCGAUGGCGAAGGCAGCCAUCUGGACCGACACUGACGCUGAGGCGCGAAAGCGUGGGGAGCAAACAGG